AACGUAGGAGGCGAGCGUUAUCCGGAGUUACUGGGCGUAAAGCGCGUGCAGGUGGGUCGUUAAGUUGGUUAUGAAAGCUCCCGGCUAAACUGGGAGAGGCUGACCAAGACUGACGGUCUUGAGUGGAGAAGAGGUCAACGGAAUUCCGCGUGUAGUGGUGAAAUGCGUAGAGAUGCGGAAGAACACCAGUGGCGAAGGCGGUUGACUGGUCUCCAACUGACACUCAGACGCGAAAGCAUGGGUAGCGAACGGGAUUAGAAACCCCCGUAGUCC
rnacentral:rRNA from 1 species